GAGCCGUGACGUGGAGGAAAGCGGCCGGCGUCAUCUCCACCACCACCUCAGACGCUCGUGACGCUAUGGUGACGUGUAUAGGAAGAGUAGCAGAGCGUCACCGUAACAGGGAAAGGGACCUCGUGAGCUAGACUAAUCCACGGAGACAUUGCAUAGAAGGAAUGUGAGUGGUGGAACUGGAGAUUGACGUCGGAAAAUGUGGAGAAAAUGGGAAGCGUGGAGUGGGUAUUGGUAUGCUCUACGUUGCCACAGAGAUGGAAAAAAGAUCACACCUACAUUAUUCCGUUGUCCUCCGAGCCCGGCGUAGCGUGGAGGACAGCUGCCCCGCCGCCUGCAGCCGCGUGUGAGACAGGGAACGAAAGAUGUAAUUUUGCCCUUUCACUUCCCUGCUCUGAUCCGGGAGGCGCUACGCUUUUUCUUCCCUUGAGUUUCAGGUACGCCGGGAAGCAGGUGAAGCAGGACGAGGCUAAGCAGAUAAUGAGCAGAUGAUGACGAUGAUGAUGAUGCUCCUGGAUGCUGCGUCGUAACUAGCAGGGACAACAUCCAGAAGCAACGACGCACCCGAACAGCCAUUCGCAUCACCUUGGGUCCGUAGCCUA